rnacentral:rRNA from 1 species
GCUAGCGUUGUUCGGAAUUACUGGGCGUAAAGCGCACGUAGGCGGCUUGGUAAGUUAGAGGUGAAAGCCUGGAGCUCAACUCCAGAAUUGCCUUUAAGACUGCCGAGCUAGCAGGUGAGAGAGGUGAGUGGAAUUCCGAGUGCAGAGGUGAAAUUCGUAGAUAUUCGGAAGAACACCAGUGGCGAAGGCGGCUCACUGGCCUGGUAUUGACGCUGAGGUGCGAAAGCGUGGGGAGCAAACAGG